rnacentral:misc_RNA from 1 species
GUCAUUUUGAGUUUCAAUCAGCUUCAAAGUUCACGGAAAUCUAGAUCUACAAGAAGUCAGAAGGGAGAGAUCGACGUGCACCCAAAGCAGAGGCUGAGAGAGCGAACGUAAAUCCGUUCAAAAACUGAAGGGAAGAGAGUAGAGCAUGAAUGAAAGAAAAGGAGAAAGGUUAGCAAUGGAGAGAGUUAGGGUUUAGGAGGAGGACAUGGGAGAGGGAGGCGAAGAAUUCGAGGGAGUUGCGGGGAGAACGGAGAAGGAAAGGGAAGAAAUAAGCUAUCUCAUUCCAUUACCAAACAAGAGAGAGAGGGAGAGAGAAGAAAGCGAAUAGUUCGAG